rnacentral:rRNA from 1 species
UACGAAGGGGGCUAGCGUUGCUCGGAAUUACUGGGCGUAAAGCGCACGUAGGCGGCUUUCUAAGUCGGGGGUGAAAUCCUGGAGCUCAACUCCAGAACUGCCUUCGAUACUGGCGAUCUUGAGUCCGGAAGAGGUGAGUGGAAUUCCUAGUGUAGAGGUGGAAUUCGUAGAUAUUAGGAAGAACACCAGUGGCGAAGGCGGCUCACUGGUCCGGUACUGACGCUGAGGUGCGAAAGGCGUGGGGAGCAAACAGG